rnacentral:rRNA from 1 species
AUUGAACGCUGGCGGCAGGCCUAACACAUGCAAGUCGAGCGGAUGAAGGGAGCUUUCUCCUGUAUUCAUCGUCGGACGGUUGUGUAAUGCCUAGUAAUCUGCCUGGUUGUGGGGGAUAACGUCCGGUAACGGGCGCUAAUACCGCAUACGUCCUUAGUGAGAAAUUUGUGGAUCUUCGGACCUCACGCUAUCUGAUGUGCCUAGGUCGGAUUUGCUAGUUGGUGGGGUAAAGGCCUACCAAGGCGACUAUCCGUAACUGGUCUGAGAGGAUGAUCAGUCAAACUGGAACUGAGACACGGAACAGAGUACUACGGGAGGCAGCAGUGGGGAAUAUUGGACAAUGGGCGAAAGCAUGAUAAAGAAAAGCGGAGUGUGUGAAGAAGGUCUGAGGAUUGUAAAGAACUGUAAGUUGGGAGGAAGGGAAGUAAGUUAAUAAAUAGAUGGAUUGACGUUAACAACAGAAUAAGCACCGGCUAACUACGUG